rnacentral:rRNA from 1 species
UCCAGACUCCUACGGGAGGCAGCAGUGAGGAAUAUUGGUCAAUGGCCGAGAGGCUGAACCAGCCAAGUCGCGUGAGGGAAGACGGCCCUACGGGUUGUAAACCUCUUUUGUCGGGGAGCAAAGCGAGUCACGUGUGACUCAUUGAGAGUACCCGAAGAAAAAGCAUCGGCUAACUCCGUGCCAGCAGCCGCGGUAAUACGGAGGAUGCGAGCGUUAUCCGGAUUUAUUGGGUUUAAAGGGUGCGUAGGCGGGCUUGUAAGUCAGCGGUAAAAAUUCGGGGCUCAACCCCGUCCGGCCGUUGAAACUGGGGGCCUUGAGUGGGCGAGAAGAAGGCGGAAUGCGUGGUGUAGCGGUGAAAUGCAUAGAU